UCAGAAUCUGGAGUUCCUGUUACAUCACAAGGAGUUCCUAACACUGAAGCCGCAUGACUGGUUAUUUGGAGAGACGAUCGAGUGCUAUUUAAGAGCUGUACUUAAUGCAAAGGGUGCAAAUAUCUACCAGCUAAGCCAUUACACCACAAGUGUCAUUUUAAAUGGCCCAGAAGACCAGGUCAUACGACAAGGUUUGAAAAAAGUCAACUUUGAGCAAUAUGAUGGGGUCAUCUCUGUUGUAAAUAUCAGACACGUGCACUGGAG